AACGCUAGCUACAGGCUUAACACAUGCAAGUCGAGGGGCAGCAUGAGAUUAGCUUGCUAAUCUUGAUGGCGACCGGCGCACGGGUGAGUAACGCGUAUCCAACCUUCCCUUUACUCUGGGAUAGCCCGGUGAAAACCGGAUUAACACCGGAUGGGUUCACAUGACGGCAUCAGACUGUGAAUAAAGGUUACGGUAAAGGAUGGGGGUGCGUCUGAUUAGCUUGUUGGCGGGGUAACGGCCCACCAAGGCAACGAUCAGUAGGGGUUCUGAGAGGAAGGUCCCCCACAUUGGAACUGAGACACGGUCCAAACUCCUACGGGAGGCAGCAGUGAGGAAUAUUGGUCAAUGGACGAGAGCCUGAACCAGCCAAGUAGCGUGCAGGAUGACGGCCCUAUGGGUUGUAAACUGCUUUUGUACGGGAAUAAAGUGACCUACGUGUAGGUUUUUGCAUGUACCGUAAGAAUAAGGACCGGCUAAUUCCGUGCCAGCAGCCGCGGUAAUACGGAAGGUCCGGGCGUUAUCCGGAUUUAUUGGGUUUAAAGGGAGCGUAGGCCGUGCUUUAAGCGUGUUGUGAAAUGUAGGCGCCCAACGUCUGCACUGCAGCGCGAACUGGAGCACUUGAGUACGCAGGAAGUAGGCGGAAUUCGUCGUGUAGCGGUGAAAUGCUUAGAUAUGACGAAGAACUCCGAUUG
rnacentral:rRNA from 1 species